AGAUGUGAAUGGACAUGACAUGAGCAAGGUCUUGAAAUGUUCUUCUGUGGUGGCCUUCCCACAUGUGUCUUGCGAAGAUGGGCUACAGAGCUCAGGAGAACCCCCAGAAGAGGAGGUGGAGAGAGAGUAAGAGCCAGAGGGAAUGGAGGAAACCAGGAGGACAAGGGCCUCUGAAUCAGCUGAGCAAGGACCAUAUGAACUCCCAGACUGAAGCAGCAAGUGCAGGGCCUCCUCCGUCUGCACCAGGUCCUCUGACUUCCAAAUGCUGGCAUUACAGCUGUGUGCUACCAUGUCCAUCUGGCAACUCGAUCAUAGUGAAACCGGACCCUGCUGUGUCCAGUCAGCUGUCUUCAACGGAUGCUUCUACUCAUGGUCCAAGCCAGCCCUCGUGAGACUGGCACAUUCCUCUGAGGGGCUCCCUGCAACAUCACACGGGAUUCAACAAUUCGCCCCCCAGAUGAUGCUUCAACAAGGCUCUGACGCCCAUCAGAAGCCCUGCCCCAGCCCCUGACCAGGCAGCACAGAACGUCUCCCAAGGCCACCCCUAACUGCUCUCUUUCCGUGGCACCUCCACAGAGCUCCACAGAGCAGACAAUAGGUGAAGCCAGCACAUCCCCCAUCAGCUUGAAGAAGCCACUGAAGACUUCCAACCAUCUUCCCAAGAUUGGAUUCUUUGCCCUGUCACGGGGAAUGUGGAGGGAAGGCCAUGACCACAAAUGCAGUGGAUCUCUGUGAGUUCAAGACCAACCAGAGCUAUAUAAUGAAACCCUGUCUAAAAAUAAUCAAACAAAAAAGAAAUAAAGAGAAAAAGGCUUUCCCAAACAAACAAACAAGCAAACACACAAACAAACAAACAUUCCAGCCCCUACUCCACUCAAGCUGCAAACAGGAGAACAUGAAAUGGUACUGCGGACCAAAAUUAGCCACUGUCGAUACUGAAGAGCUUCCAUCCAGGACCAGUGCCAACCUCAUCUGCAUACAGUAGGGCCCACCCUUGGGUCAGCCACAGCCCAUCCCCUCAUAUCUGGGAUUGCUGGCUCUUGACUGAGCCAGAAAGAAUAAUGUCCAGGUCCAGAGCUAUCUUACUCCUCUGGUCUCGGCCACCACCUUCACUCAAGUGCACAUACUUAGAUACACACACUUUAAAAUAAUGAGAAUAAUUUUGUCAAAAAUAUACAACAAGUCUUUUUUUAAAACAUAGGUUUUUUUUUAAACCUUCCAGAAUAUCUACAUCCUGAAGAGGAAGGAAGCUCCACUUUUAUUUCAUCCCAUUUUGUACCAGCCAAACUUUUCUACCUGUAUGUUGUAUGUAAUAUCAUGAUCACUACACCCAUCCAAUGGGCUCUCUUUGUGGGCUGAUGUGCAGGGCUGGCGCUCAGCAUCAUUCUCACACCUUCUAAUAUUUCUUCUUGAACUGCAGAGGCUGAAAAGUGAGAGAGAGAGAGAGAGACAGACAGACAGACAAAGACAGAGAAACUGAAAAGUCAAGCUGCAGUCUGGAAGAAUAUAUUUACAAAAUACUAUCUGAUAGAGAACUAUUACUCAAAAUAGACAAAGAACUCUUAAACUUAACAAUAAUAAAUAGAAAAAGAAAUCCCAUAAAAAUGGGCUAGAGAUGUGGCCAGAAACCUCACCAGGAAACUCAAGAGGCAGGUAAGCAGAGAUACUCAGGGAUCUGAACAUGAGG